UACGAAGGGUGCAAACGUUGCUCGGAAUCAUUGGGCGUAAAGCGCACGUAGGCGGCCUGUUAAGUCGGAUGUGAAAUCCCUCGGCUCAACCGAGGACGUGCAUCCGAAACUGGCUGGGCUCGAGUAUGGAAGAGGGUCGCGGAAUUCCCGGUGUAGAGGUGAAAUUCGUAGAUAUCGGGAGGAACACCAGUGGCGAAGGCGGCGACCUGGGCCAAUACUGACGCUGAGGUGCGAAAGCGUGGGGAGCAAACAGG
rnacentral:rRNA from 1 species